GACGAACGCUGGCGGCGUGCUUAACACAUGCAAGUCGAACGGAAAGGCCCGGCUUGCUGGGUACUCGAGUGGCGAACGGGUGAGUAACACGUGGGUGAUCUGCCCUGGACUCUGGGAUAAGCCUGGGAAACUGGGUCUAAUACCGGAUAUGACCUUACAUCGCAUGGUGUUUGGUGGAAAGCUUUUGCGGUUCAGGAUGGGCCCGCGGCCUAUCAGCUUGUUGGUGGGGUAAUGGCCUACCAAGGCGACGACGGGUAGCCGACCUGAGAGGGUGAUCGGCCACACUGGGACUGAGACACGGCCCAGACUCCUACGGGAGGCAGCAGUGGGGAAUAUUGCACAAUGGGCGCAAGCCUGAUGCAGCGACGCCGCGUGAGGGAUGACGGCCUUCGGGUUGUAAACCUCUUUCACCAGGGACGAAGCGUGAGUGACGGUACCUGGAGAAGAAGCACCGGCCAACUACGUG
rnacentral:rRNA from 1 species